UGAGCAAUCUGCCCUUCUCAUCGGAAUAAGCGUUGGAAACGACGUCUAAUGCCGAAUACGACCUCCUUUCGCAUGAUCGGAGGUGGAAAGCUCCGGCGGAGAAGGAUGAGCUCGCGGCCUAUCAGCUAGUUGGUGAGGUAAUAGCUCACCAAGGCGAUGACGGGUAGCCGGCCUGAGAGGGUGACCGGCCACACUGGGACUGAGACACGGCCCAGACUCUACGGGAG
rnacentral:rRNA from 1 species